AUCCCAUUGAAACACUGGUUCCUGUAUGAUCAUCAAAGUUAAGCAUCAUUGAGCCUGGUCAGUACCUUGAUGGGUGAUUACUUGGCAAUACCAGGUGCU